CCCUAUUGCUAUCGGGAUGAGACUAAGCCAUGCAAGUUGUGCGCUCCCUAGCUACGUCGGGAGAGCAGCAAACAGCUCCGUAACACGUAGUUAAUCUGCCCUUAGGACGGACAUAACCCUGGGAAACUGGGGCUAAUAUCCGAUGGAUGGAAACGCCUGGAAUGGUCUUCCAUCGAAAGGUUCUUGGGAACACGCUUCCAAGAAUGCCUAAGGAUGAGACUGCGGCCGAUCAGGCUGUUGGUGGGGUAACGGCCCACCAAGCCUAUAACCGGUACGGGCCCUGAGAGGGGGAGCCCGAAGAUGGGAACUGAGACAAGGUCCCAGGCCCUACGGGGCGCAGCAGGCGCGAAACCUCCACAAUGCGCGAAAGCGUGAUGGGGUUACCCCGAGUGCCGUCCGUUGAGGAGGGCUUUUCCCCAGCGUAAGGAGCUGGGGGCAAUAAAGGGGGGGCAAGACUGGUGUCAGCCGCCGCGGUAAUACCAGCCCCCUGAGUGAUAGGGACGAUUAUUUAGCCUAAAGCGUUCGUAGCCGGCUUAGCAAGUCUUUCGUUAAAUCUGACGACUUAAUCGUCAGGCCGCGGAAGAUACUACUAGGCUAGAGGGCGGGAGAGGUUGACGGUAUUCCCGGUGUAGGGGUGAAAUCCUAUAAUCCCGGGAGGACCACCAAUGGCGAAGGCGGUCAACUAGAACGCGCCUGACGGUGAUGGACGAAAGCUGGGGGAGCGAACCGGAUUAGACACCCGGGUAGUCCCAGCCGUAAACGAUGCGGGCUAGGUGUUGGGGCAGCUACGAGCUGCCCCAGUGCCGCAGAGAAGUCGUUAAGCCCGCCGCUUGGGAAGUACGGUCGCAAGGCUGAAACUUAAAGGAAUUGGCGGGGGAGCACCACAAGGGGUGAAGCCUGCGGUUCA
rnacentral:rRNA from 1 species